UACGGGGGGAGCAAGCGUUGUUCGGAUUUACUGGGCGUAAAGGGCGCGUAGGCGGCCACCGCAAGUCGGUUGUGAAAUCUCUGGGCUUAACCCAGAAAGGUCAACCGAUACUGCGGGGCUAGAGUGCAGAAGGGGCAACUGGAAUUCUCGGUGUAGCGGUGAAAUGCGCAGAUAUCAGGAGGAACACCAAUUGCGAAGGCAGCUCGCUGGGACGUAACUGACGCUGAGACGCGAAAGCGUGGGGAGCGAACAGG
rnacentral:rRNA from 1 species